rnacentral:rRNA from 1 species
GACAGAGGGUGCAAACGUUGUUCGGAAUUACUGGGCGUAAAGCGAGUGUAGACGGUCUCGUAAGUCGGGUGUGAAAGCCCUGGGCUCAACCCAGGAAGUGCACUCGAAACUGCGAGGCUAGAGUACUGGAGAGGUUGGUGGAAUUCUCGGUGUAGAGGUGAAAUUCGUAGAUAUCGAGAGGAACACCGGUGGCGAAGGCGGCCAACUGGACAGAUACUGACGCUGAGGAGCGAAAGUGUGGGGAGCGAACAGG